rnacentral:rRNA from 1 species
UACAGAGGUCCCAAGCGUUGUUCGGAUUUACUGGGCGUAAAGGGUGCGUAGGUGGUUGGAUCAGUCUGAUGUGAAAUCUCCGGGCUCAACCCGGAAAUGGCAUUGGAUACUAUUCGACUCGAGGGUUGGAGGGGGGACUGGAAUACUUGGUGUAGCAGUGAAAUGCGUAGAUAUCAAGUGGAACACCAGUGGCGAAGGCGAGUCCCUGGACAACUCCUGACACUGAGGCACGAAAGCUAGGGGAGCAAACAGG